CCUAAUUACUGUUGGUCUGCUCCUACAUACUACAGCUACUACGCACUCGUACUUCGACACCCACAAAGUCAAAACAAAGGAAAAAAAAAAACUCCUUGUUCAUCUUGUUCUUCAUUUCAUCAUUCUAUUUACUUUAUUCAACACCCUAAAUUCAUAAAUUUUGUUCAAAUUUCAUCAAAUUCAACAUUCCUUCAUCUAUCUUUGAAAUUACUUGAGUUUGUGGGUAAUUCAAAGAGGGAAAAUUUGGCUUUUCUAUUGAAUAUUUUGGGGCGAAAAUCGUAUCAAAAGGGCAAUUUUUCGGGUCUUUUUCUUGAGUAACUGUAUCUCCCUAUUAAAGUACAAUCUUUAUGAAAUUUGACAUUAUAUACAGAGCGUAGUUCGCGAAGUAUAAUGGUAACUGAGUCUCGUCAAACGCUAAAUUCGCGGGCUAUGACCUGCAUAAGGUACGACAGGUGGAGGCUGGCAUUUCUUUUAAUCUUUAAAGUGGUAUACUGGCUGUUGAUUGCUUCCUACAUCUAAAAUAUGUUAGAGUGGUCUUCAUAUGCAAGCAGGUUUCAUUGCCCUUGAUCACUUGGAGUUAUGUUGAGAAAGAUACUUAAUCAUUUUUUAUUGUUGUUUUUAUCUUGAACGAUUCAUGUAUUAUCACUUAGUCUUGAUUAGUAUUUUAUUUUUGUUUUUGACAGGGAGAUGUAUCAUAUUUUGAUGUAAAUGUAUAAUGUACUAGAGAAAAUGAAAUACAACUUGUAGUAUUGUGUUUGUAAUACAAGUAAUUCUUCAGCUUUAUUGAUUUUAAUUUUUUUUUGUAAA